rnacentral:lncRNA from 1 species
CUUCAUUCCCUUCAUCUUCCUCAUCAUUCCUCAAGCAUUCAUCAAUAUCAUUAGCAUCAAGAGGAUUAUUAGUAUCACUACUAGUACCAACACCAAUAUUAUGAACAUUAGUGCUACUACUAGUACCAACACCAAUAUCAUCAAUUUGAAUAUCCAAAUCAUCUUCAAUACCAUGACUCUCCAUUACAAUAUUAUUAGGAAUUUCUUCUUCAUCACUUU